CAGCCGCCACGGUAAUACGGAGGGUGCAAGCGUUAAUCGGAAUUACUGGGCGUAAAGCGCACGCAGGCGGUCUGUCAAGUCAGAUGUGAAAUCCCCGGGCUUAACCUGGGAACUGCAUUUGAAACUGGCAGGCUAGAGUCUUGUAGAGGGGGGUAGAAUUCCAGGUGUAGCGGUGAAAUGCGUAGAGAUCUGGAGGAAUACCGGUGGCGAAGGCGGCCCCCUGGACAAAGACUGACGCUCAGGUGCGAAAGCGUGGGGAGCAAACAGGAUUAGAUACCCCAGUAGUCCCUGUCUCUUAUAC
rnacentral:rRNA from 1 species